GGGAGGGAAAGGCUGGUAGACGCCAGCUUCAUGCUCGACGCUGCUCUUGUGUGUUUUUGUAAUUGUUUUGUUGUAACAAGUGGAAAAACAUGGUGCAAACGUGCUGUGUUAUUAACUGCCACAAUCGUUCACGCGAUCGCUUCGGGAAUAAAAAGGAUGGGGUGAUAUUUUUCUCAUUUCCAACCUGGAAGCAAUGCCAAGGAGGUGUGAUCUGUGAGCUAACAAGGAGACGCCGAAUGGCCUGGAUAGCAGCCGUGGGACGACCAAACAUCACUUUCAGCGCCAUCAGUCGACACAUGCUGGUGUGUUCACGGCAUUUUCACACUGGGAGACCGGCUUAUGAAAUGGAUGAAAGCCAUCCAGACUGGGCACCCUCAUUACAUCUCGGACACACGGAGGUGGAAGCUGCAGAUAACAAGAGACUACACAUAACUUUGUACGAGGAGGAACUUUCUCCAACAGGAGAGGAGAACGAGCGACUACGACAACAACUGGAAGCUGUUUGCAAGACUCAAGUUGUACUAAACAUUGAAGACAUCCAGCAGCUGACUGGUAGUCAAGAUGAAUGUCUCCCUGAGCCACAGCGGGGGAACUCCACUUCGGAGCAGCAGCAGCCACAGCCUGUUAAAGAGGAAGAAGAGGCGCCACAGCCCUCCUAUGUUAAAGAAGAACAGGAAGAACUCUCGAUCACUCAGGAAAGAGAACAUCUUCUCGGGCCAGAGGAGGCUAAGCUCGCCCGGUUGCCACUGCCUGUUGUCUCUGUGAAGACAGAAGACCGUGAAGACAAACCACCAGAGUCCUCACAGCUUCAUCAUAGUCCAAGUGAGGAGGUGAGAGAGGCGGAGCCUUCAUGCAGCAGCUCAUUGCAACACAUGACAACAGAAGCUGAUGGAGACCACUGUGGAGGAUCACAAGCAGACAACCUCUUAGCUCCACUGUCAGAUAGUGACGACACAACGUCACACUCUCCUGAAGAUGAAGACAGCGACGACAACCAAGAAUCUCUGAGCAGCGAUACAGCCUGGGAAGGUGAUAUGACGACUUACACUGACAACAAACACUCUGAAAGCUCUAAAAAGAAGACAGGUAAACAUUUUAACUGCUCAGUUUGUGAUAAGAGAUAUUCUUUUAAACGUUGUUUGAUUCGACACAUGAGAACGCACACAAGAGAAAAACCUUUUAGUUGUUCAGACUGUAGUAAACGCUUCACUCGAAGGUCAGACAUGAAAACACACAUGACAACGCAUACAGGAGAAAAACCUUUUAGUUGCUCAGACUGUAGCAAACGCUUCACUCGAAGGUCAGACAUGAAAACACACAUGAGAAUACAUACAGGAGAAAAACCAUUUACUUGCUCAGACUGUGGUAAAAGUUUCACUCAAAAAGCAAGUAUAGCACUACACAUGAGAACACACACAGGAGAAAAACCUUUUACUUGCUCAAACUGUGGAAAAUGCUUCACUCACAAAGUCAAUAUGGUAUCACACAUGAGAACACACACAGGAGAAAAACCAUUUACUUGCUCAAACUGUUUGAAAAGUUUUGCACAAAAGGCAACUUUGGUAUCACAUAUGAGAAUACACACAGGAGAAAAACCUUUUACCUGCUCAGACUGUGGUAAAAGCUUCACUCACAAACGAGUUAUGGUAAAACAUAUGAGAACACACACAGGAAAAAAACGUUUUAGUUGCUCAGACUGUGGUAAAAGCUUCAAUCACAAAGUAAAUGUUGUAUCACACAUGAGAACACACAGUAGAAAAACGUUUUAGUUGGAACCUUGGAAGUUGAAAAGACAAAUGAUGGUGUACGGCAGGGGUAUCAAACUCAUGCCAUGGAGGGCUGAGACACUGCAGGUUGUCUUUCCAGCCGGUCACUAAAGCAGGUGAUGUUCAUGGUCAACGCCUCCUUCAGUUUGAGGGAAUGAGCUCAUCAUUUGAAUCACCUGCUGGAGGAACUGGUGUAGAGAAAGUCUGCAGUGUCUCAGCCCUCCAUGACACAAGCUUAACAUGGUCUACACCAGAGAUGGGCAAACUACGGAUCCGGCCCGUUGUUCUUUUUAAUCCGGCCCGCCGAAGAUUGUACAGAAUUAAAGUUUGAUGUGAAUGAUUGCAUUCAUUUCAUUUUGGCUUGUAAUAACGGCAUUUCAACACCAGGAGGCGCCGUAGGCGCAGUGACUUGAGAGAGCCAUUUCCAAUUACUGCUCUUCUACUCGCUCGCCAACGUUACCACAGAUGGAUCGUCAAAUGUGACAGGAAAAAACGUCGGGAUGCUUAAGAGAAUUCAGGACAGGUGAAAGAGGACAACCUUGAGCAGGAGGUCAUGUUUCUACACUGAAGUUUGGGAAAAGUAUGUCAACGUGUGUGGGAGCCCAAACGGGAGAUGAUUUGGUUUUUGGAGCUACUUGAGAAUACUGACACACUUCCUGAGCUGAAUGACACAGUUUGGCUUUGUGAUUUAGCUUUUACUGGGGACAUACUGGCACACAUGAACCCUGAAUGUGAAGCUACAAGGAAAAAACAGUUUGUGCAUGAAAUGCAAGCCAACAUCAGAGCCUUCAAAGCCAAGUUGGUUUUAUUUUCCAAGCUAAUGUAUGUUAAUACUUAUAAUGUUUUUUUCUGGUUAUGGUUCAUAUGUACUGUUAACAAAUGCAGUUUUUUUAAUAUGUAUCUUAUCUUGUGCUGACCCGGCCCGUCUGUCAAAUUUUAAAAGUCAAUGUGGCCCCCAGCCCGAAAAGUUUGCCCACCCCUGGUCUACACUGUCAUUCAUUCAUUCAUUCAUUCAUUUUCUAUGCUGUUUAAUCCUCCUAAGGGUCGUGGGGGUAUGCUGGGGCCUAUCCCAGCGGACUUUGCGAGAGGCGGACUGCUGGACUGCUCACCAGCCAAUCGCAGGGCUGGAAAGUAGUGAUUUGAUUCCUAUUACUGACUUGAGUUACAGUAGUUAUGAGUGAGCACAAGCGGCACAGAAAAUGGAGGCAUGGAAGGAGUUACGGUAGUUAUGAGUCACUAAGUGAAUCGGGUACUCGAGUUACAGAGCGCAUGAUUUGAUUUGAUUUUACUCAACCACUAUGUGAUAAAGGGGAACAAUUACAUUAUUUUUUAUUGUUGCAUUGCCUUUUUUUGUAUAACAUAUGUUCACAAGUGUGUUGAUAGAAAUAUUUUUUGUUUGCCUAAAAUUUGUGUCGGGUGUUUUUAUUCUGAUUGUAAUCACGAUCAACACAUUAAAAGGCAAAAUGACGAAAUCAUGAAGUUUUUGUGAAAAAUUCAAUGUAAACGUAUCAGUAUCAAUAUCAGCAACACUGGCUCUGUACUGACAGAUUGGUACCAAAGGUUCAGUGUGGUCCAGCUCUGACUGUCUCUCAGCUCCAAAUUGAAACCUAAGCCCCCUACUAUAUUUUGUUUGAUGCUGCAUUUUAUUGUGGAUAUUGAAUGCAACACCUAAUAUUUUUGGAUGUGUCUGUCAAUGUCUGUGUAUCUUAGAGCCUAAAUCGUGUUUAUUUUUAUUUUUGCACUGCAUGGUUUGGUCAGUAGAGGGCACUAUUUGUGCACUACUUGAUUGUUUGGGGGCGUUAACGGAAGGAAGGAAUAGUCUUUAUACCCCAUGUGGCGGGAAAUGUUUCUUUGCUUGAUUCUAUGGGUUUUAACAAGUUUGAGCACUGGAAUUGUAAUCUCUGAUAUUUUAAUGCAUUGUCAAUAAAGCUGUAAGCGUGAUGCACUGACCACCUCAAGAAACGGAAUUUAAUUGUACAGGUUUUUACUGAAUAAGACACCCAGAAUGCCCAUCAGUGGUCACCUCUCUCUCUCUCUCUUCCUCCCUCUCCCUCCUUAAUAAUUUCCUUUAAUAAUUAAUCUUGUUUUUAGUCAUGUGCAUCACCACUAUAGCUUUGAUAGGUAGGUAGGUAGAGAUCUAUCUGUACUUCCUAAGGAAUAAUGCCCAAUGUUCAUUAUUUAUUGAAGUGCUAUUUUGUCUACAUAGACUUUAUAGUCCAUUUUAUUUACUGUUUAUAUUCUUGCGUGUGGGUUUUAUUCGAGUGUUUUUAUUCUUCACAGAAGUUGAUUUUUAAAAUUUUUUUUUACAAAUACAGUAUUAUUGUAAAUCUUAACAUUUUUCAAUUUAACACAUACUAAAUUAACAUAAUUAACUUAAAUCUACGAACUGAAUCAGAGCUGCAUGGCUCUUAUGGCAGACCGAACCAACUCUAGGAUUUUAGUGAGGCCCCUGCUCCUCCUUUUGACUUUCCAGAUGUGUUUAGGAAAAGGCCCAAAGUCUCAAAGAUGCUAGACUGAUUGCUGCCAUGAUUCCAUAGACAUGACAGUGGUUAGUCAACGUCAAAGCAACAUGUGUCUUGACCAUGAAAGGAAAGCGCCAACCCUCAAGACAACAGGUUGGCGUAAUGGUUUGCAAACCCUAUAAGUCUGACUGCUUUCCAAACUCUCAUUGGAAGUGCUUCCGAAGCUGAGUAAUUUUCUAACACAAAUUAUUUCUAUACACAAUCAAAAAUGUGUAUUUAACAACUUUUCCUUCCACUUAUGCCUUCUAAAUUGAAGACUUGAAGGGAACAAAAUGUGUUCUUCAAUAACAUGAUUUAUCAACUUUGCUUAAGUGUUUUAUAUUGUUUGUAAUUAUGAUCUACGUUGUUGUUUUUUUACAUUGGUAAAAAUUCAUUUAAAUGUUUUAAUCUUUUGAACGCAUAUUGUUUUGAGAAGCCAAACUCUUUACUUAAAUGUCCCCAGCAACUAAGCGGAACUACGUCAUCACAGAAAUCUGACCAGAACUGGACUUAGGAGACCAAGUGGGGGGUAAGUCGCUGUUAUUGGACGACAACGCUGAUGGGGGUGUCAUACAACUUCCAUCCAUCCAUCCAUUUUCUAUGCCGCUUCUCCUCAUUAGGGUCGCGGGGGUAUGCUGGCUCUGCCUAUCUCAGCUGACUUGGGGCGAAAGGUGGGGUUGAAAACCCACAGCAUUUCCGUGUGUGGAAUUAAAUUAUGGAACGGAUUGAGUAAAGAACUCAAACAAUGUACAGAGAUGAGCAAAUUCAAAAAACAGUACAAGCAGGUGAUGUUUGCUAAAUACAAGGCAGAAGAGUCCUGAUUGUUCUGUCAGGUUUGUUAUUUUAUUUUUUUUAUUUUAAUUUUUUUUACAUUAUUUUUCUUUGUUUUGUUUUAAAAAAAAGAAAAAAGCUUUGUUCUUUUUUAUUUAUUUAUUUAGUAUUAUCAUUAUUAUUAUUAUUAAUGUAUAUAUAUAUAUAUAAUUUUUUUUUCUUUUUUCGGGGGGAGGGCUAUCUUACCGUUAUCUAUUAUGUGUUAUCCUGACUAUCACUGAAAACAUGACAUGGAAUGCAGGAAGUGAACAACAUGUACUGUACAAGAUGCAGAUUGGAAGGGGGGUAGGAUUAAAUAAGCUUUGCUUCUUCCUACUCCUUUUGGACAUGUGGAACUGUGGAAAAAAAUGAUUCAUGAGAUGUAUUCCAUUGUAACCUUCAUGUUCAAAUAAACUAAACCAAACAAACUGUUGCCAGCUCCUCAGUAAGAAAAAUAGCUAUUGGCUGUCCUAGAAGUCGGCAGAUGAUGCCAUAGACUAAUUUGCAUAUUAUUUGCAUAUGUUGUCACAGAUGCUGUAGGAAAAAAGCAUAACCUUGUAGGAGAGACAAAUAAGCAAAACAAGAUAGUCACACACAUCAGCUUUGACUUUGGAGAAGAGCAACCGACAUUUUUGCCUCUUUUGGAUAUCUUGUGAAUCAAACCACCGCAUCCAUCCCUUUUUCUAUGCCGCUUAUCCUCACGAGGGUCGCAGGUAUGCUGGAGCCUAUCCCAGCUGACUUCGGGCAAGAGGCGGGGUACACCCUGGACUGGUCGCCAUUCAAUCAAUGGCAGGGCACAUACAGACAAACAAACAUUCACACUCACAUUCAUACCUAUGGACCAUUUAGAGUCACCAAUUAACCUAACAUGCAUGUUUUUGGAAUGUGGGAGGAAACCGGAGUACCCGGAAAAAACCCACGCACGGGGAGAACAUGCAAACUCCACACAGACAUGCCCAAUGGAGAUCUUCCC